GUAAGUUGCGCAUGACUCUCCAAUCGUGAAGGAAGAUAAUGUCGUCUGAAGAUGGAAAGGGAAGAGGGAAAUAUAGAAAAUAGAAAUAUUGACAUUGUUACAAAAUCAUGGGCUAGAGUGCCUGAGAAGUAUGACUAUGAAGCUUUUCUGCUCAGAAGUAUGAAGAAUAUUGACAAAAAUCCUUAAUCCAGGUCUGCUGGAAAUUUGGGAGUACAUACUAGAUUUCCUUGUCAAAGCAGUGUAGGUAUAAUCAAACCCCAAAGUUCAUAAUGCCAUUUUGAUAUGUCUUCCCAAGUCCUGAUGUUUUCCACCAGAAAUCAUUACAAUAUCAUCAUAGAGAAGAAUACUAGGCCAAAUUCAUGCUGUACUCUCUGACUAUAGGUGUGUAUUUACCACAAUUUACAACAUAAGAAAUUAGUUUCUCCUUUCCUAUAUAAAUCAUUAAACACUUCUUAUAAUAAUCGUAUGUCUUGUCUUUAUGCACUCGGUGUGAGGGAGAUUCAGUAAUGAAAAAUUCAAAUUGUUCGUGUUUAAAAUUCACACCAGCAUAUAUAGAUCUGACAUGAUAUACCACUGUGGUUUCUUAUUAAUUAGAUGUGUGGGAAGUAAAAUUUUAGAUGAAGAUGCAUGAUUAAUUAUGAUACUGCAAACCGACUGACACUUUAUCAGUAUUCAUACAACAACAUUUAAUGUCUAAUGGAAAGAAAAUAUAUUUCCAUCUUAAUGAUACUGGAAUUCCAUACCUCGAACACACAGAGCGAUAAAAAUCUUUAAGGGUACACAAUAAGCUGGGUGUCUUAGAUUUCAUCAUUUUACAUUCAUUUAAUAUUUUUUUGUGUAGCUAUUGAAUUUUGAUAGAUUACAUGGGGAGAAAUGCAUAGAAAAACUACUCAAUAGAAGUGACUCUUCCGCCGACCCAGGACGACGUGACAAAGGCACUGCCACGUUUUUUGUUCAACUUGGGGUAUCAUCACCCCACAGAUAUAAUCACAUCAAGACAUUACGCAGUGUAGUACAAUCUCUGCCAUAGAGCUACAUAAUGAAAGGCAAAUUUCAUCAAUUAUUUUAUUUCCACCCCUUGCAAUUGUCGGAAUUCGACUUCUGAGUAGAAUAAUUUUUCUUUUGUCCUUGAUUGAGAAGUGAACAAUUUCGCCUUGCCUAGUUCGGUUGACAUAUGUUGUCAUAGCCUUUUAACACUUAUUCGCUUAUUCAUUAAAAAUACACUUUUAUUUCAAUUCUGUUGUCAUGAUAAAGGAAAACUGAAGUAUUUAAAUACACUAACUAAAUUAGGCAUCACAGUUUACAAGUGGCUGACUCUUGCACUGAACAAUGCUUUCAAGAAUUCAAACUUAUUUUUGAAAUACAAUUAUAGAUAAUAAUAGGGUUGUCUGGUUUGGAAAUUUGAUUUAAUUACUGCGAAACUGUGAAUUUAGUAAGAAGGUGGACCACACAUAUCAAACUUCAGUCAUUUUUUAACAAUGUGCAUUUCAGGUCAAUUUCUUUGGUGGUAUUUUGUGAUCUGUGGUUCAUUUUAGUUUCUGUAAACAGCUCAGCUAGAGACUGUUGAUAGAUACUAAGCAGUUAAAGGCUGUUUGAUAUCUUCUGAUAGGACAUAAAUACUAAAAAACCUGUCUUGUCU